rnacentral:rRNA from 1 species
UACGUAGGGUGCAAGCGUUAAUAGGAAUUACUGGGCGUAAAGCGUGCGCAGGCGGUUUUGUAAGUCUGUCGUGAAAGCCCCGGGCUCAACCUGGGAAUUGCGAUGGAGACUGCAAGGCUUGAAUCUGGCAGAGGGGGGUAGAAUUCCACGUGUAGCAGUGAAAUGCGUAGAGAUGUGGAGGAACACCGAUGGCGAAGGCAGCCCCCUGGGUCAAGAUUGACGCUCAUGCACGAAAGCGUGGGAGCAAACAGG